UGUGGGAGCGGGCUUGCCCGCGAUAGCGGUUUGUCAGUCACAUCAAUGUUGGAUGUGGCGCCGUCAUCGCGGGCAAGCCCGCUCCCACA
rnacentral:misc_RNA from 1 species